CAGCAGCCACGGGAAUACGGAGGGUGCAAGCGUUAAUCGGAAUUACUGGGCGUAAAGCGCAUGCAGGCGGUUUGUUAAGACAGAUGUGAAAUCCCCGGGCUCAACCUGGGAACUGCAUUUGUGACUGGCAAGCUAGAGUGUGGCAGAGGGGGGUGGAAUUCCGCGUGUAGCAGUGAAAUGCGUAGAGAUCUGGAGGAAUACCGGUGGCGAAGGCGGCCCCCUGGACAAAGACUGACGCUCAGGUGCGAAAGCGUGGGGAGCAAACAGGAUUAGAUACCCCAGUAGUCCCUGUCUCUUAUAU
rnacentral:rRNA from 1 species